UUCCGGUUGAUCCUGCCGGACCCGACUGCUAUUUGGGUGAGAAUAAGCCAUGCGAGUUGAAUGGGAUACCUAAAGUUCCCAUAGCAAACUGCUCAGUAACACAUGAUCAACUUACCCUAUAGAGAAAAAUAACCUCGGGAAACUGAGGAUAAUGUUUCAUAAUUGAAUUGGCUUGGAAAAGUUUUUCAAUGAAAGGGAUAAAAAAAAUGGUUUUUAUCUGCUAUAGGAUAGGAUCGUGUUCGAUUAUGGUUGUUGGUGAGAUAAUGGCUCACCAAGCCGAUAAUCGAUAGGGGCCGUGAGAGCGGGAGCCCCGAGAUGGGUACUGAGACAACGACCCAGGCCUUACGAGGCGCAGCAGGCGCGGAACCUCCGCAAUACACGAAAGUGUGACGGGGUUACCCAAAGUGUUCAAUAGAACUGUGGUAGGUGAGUAAUGUCCCCUACUAGAAAGGAGAGGGCAAGGCUGGUGCCAGCCGCCGCGGUAAAACCAGCUCUUCAAGUGGUCGGGAUAAUUAUUGGGCUUAAAGUGUCCGUAGCCGGUUUAGUAAGUUCCUGGUAAAAUCGGGUAGCUUAACUAUCUGCAUGCUAGGAAUACUGCUAUACUAGAGGGCGGGAGAGGUCUGAGGUACUACAGGGGUAGGGGUGAAAUCUUAUAAUCCUUGUAGGACCACCAGUGGCGAAGGCGUCAGACUGGAACGCGCCUGACGGUGAGGGACGAAAGCCAGGGGAGCGAACCGGAUUAGAUACCCGGGUAGUCCUGGCCGUAAACGAUGCAUACUAUGUGAUGGCACGGCCAUGAGCCGUGUCAGUGCCGUAGGGAAACCGUUAAGUGUGCCGCCUGGGAAGUACGGUCGCAGGGCUAAAACUUAAAGGAAUUGGCGGGGGAGCACCACAAGGGGUGAAGCCUGCGGUUCAAUUGGAUUCAACGCCGGAAAUCACUAGUGCGGCCG
rnacentral:rRNA from 1 species